GAUUAAGUUAUUAAGGGCGCACGGUGGAUGCCUUGGCACUAGAAGCCGAUGAAGGACGUUACUAACGACGAUAUGCUUUGGGGAGCUGUAAGUAAGCUUUGAUCCAGAGAUUUCCGAAUGGGGAAACCCAGCAUGAGUUAUGUCAUGUUAUCGAUAUGUGAAUACAUAGCAUAUCAGAAGGCACACCCGGAGAACUGAAACAUCUUAGUACCCGGAGGAAGAGAAAGAAAAUUCGAUUCCCUUAGUAGCGGCGAGCGAAACGGGAAGAGCCCAAACCAACAAGCUUGCUUGUUGGGGUUGUAGGACACUCUAUACGGAGUUACAAAGGACGACAUUAGACGAAUCAUCUGGAAAGAUGAAUCAAAGAAGGUAAUAAUCCUGUAGUCGAAAAUGUUGUCUCUCUUGAGUGGAUCCUGAGUACGACGGAGCACGUGAAAUUCCGUCGGAAUCUGGGAGGACCAUCUCCUAAGGCUAAAUACUCUCUAGUGACCGAUAGUGAACCAGUACCGUGAGGGAAAGGUGAAAAGCACCCCGGAAGGGGAGUGAAAUAGAACCUGAAACCGUGUGCUUACAAGUAGUCAGAGCCCGUUAAUGGGUGAUGGCGUGCCUUUUGUAGAAUGAACCGGCGAGUUACGAUUUGAUGCAAGGUUAAGCAGUAAAUGUGGAGCCGUAGCGAAAGCGAGUCUGAAUAGGGCGUUUAGUAUUUGGUCGUAGACCCGAAACCAGGUGAUCUACCCUUGGUCAGGUUGAAGUUCAGGUAACACUGAAUGGAGGACCGAACCGACUUACGUUGAAAAGUGAGCGGAUGAACUGAGGGUAGCGGAGAAAUUCCAAUCGAACCUGGAGAUAGCUGGUUCUCUCCGAAAUAGCUUUAGGGCUAGCCUCAAGUGAUGAUUAUUGGAGGUAGAGCACUGUUUGGACGAGGGGCCCCUCUCGGGUUACCGAAUUCAGACAAACUCCGAAUGCCAAUUAAUUUAACUUGGGAGUCAGAACAUGGGUGAUAAGGUCCGUGUUCGAAAGGGAAACAGCCCAGACCACCAGCUAAGGUCCCAAAAUAUAUGUUAAGUGGAAAAGGAUGUGGCGUUGCCCAGACAACUAGGAUGUUGGCUUAGAAGCAGCCAUCAUUUAAAGAGUGCGUAAUAGCUCACUAGUCGAGUGACACUGCGCCGAAAAUGUACCGGGGCUAAACAUAUUACCGAAGCUGUGGAUUGUCCUUUGGACAAUGGUAGGAGAGCGUUCUAAGGGCGUUGAAGCAUGAUCGUAAGGACAUGUGGAGCGCUUAGAAGUGAGAAUGCCGGUGUGAGUAGCGAAAGACGGGUGAGAAUCCCGUCCACCGAUUGACUAAGGUUUCCAGAGGAAGGCUCGUCCGCUCUGGGUUAGUCGGGUCCUAAGCUGAGGCCGACAGGCGUAGGCGAUGGAUAACAGGUUGAUAUUCCUGUACCACCUAUAAUCGUUUUAAUCGAUGGGGGGACGCAGUAGGAUAGGCGAAGCGUGCGAUUGGAUUGCACGUCUAAGCAGUAAGGCUGAGUAUUAGGCAAAUCCGGUACUCAUUAAGGCUGAGCUGUGAUGGGGAGAAGACAUUGUGUCUUCGAGUCGUUGAUUUCACACUGCCGAGAAAAGCCUCUAGAUAGAAAAUAGGUGCCCGUACCGCAAACCGACACAGGUAGUCAAGAUGAGAAUUCUAAGGUGAGCGAGCGAACUCUCGUUAAGGAACUCGGCAAAAUGACCCCGUAACUUCGGGAGAAGGGGUGCUCUUUAGGGUUAACGCCCAGAAGAGCCGCAGUGAAUAGGCCCAAGCGACUGUUUAUCAAAAACACAGGUCUCUGCUAAACCGUAAGGUGAUGUAUAGGGGCUGACGCCUGCCCGGUGCUGGAAGGUUAAGAGGAGUGGUUAGCUUCUGCGAAGCUACGAAUCGAAGCCCCAGUAAACGGCGGCCGUAACUAUAACGGUCCUAAGGUAGCGAAAUUCCUUGUCGGGUAAGUUCCGACCCGCACGAAAGGCGUAACGAUUUGGGCACUGUCUCAACGAGAGACUCGGUGAAAUCAUAGUACCUGUGAAGAUGCAGGUUACCCGCGACAGGACGGAAAGACCCCGUGGAGCUUUACUGUAGCCUGAUAUUGAAAUUCGGCACAGCUUGUACAGGAUAGGUAGGAGCCUUUGAAACGUGAGCGCUAGCUUACGUGGAGGCGCUGGUGGGAUACUACCCUAGCUGUGUUGGCUUUCUAACCCGCACCACUUAUCGUGGUGGGAGACAGUGUCAGGCGGGCAGUUUGACUGGGGCGGUCGCCUCCUAAAAGGUAACGGAGGCGCUCAAAGGUUCCCUCAGAAUGGUUGGAAAUCAUUCAUAGAGUGUAAAGGCAUAAGGGAGCUUGACUGCGAGACCUACAAGUCGAGCAGGGUCGAAAGACGGACUUAGUGAUCCGGUGGUUCCGCAUGGAAGGGCCAUCGCUCAACGGAUAAAAGCUACCCCGGGGAUAACAGGCUUAUCUCCCCCAAGAGUUCACAUCGACGGGGAGGUUUGGCACCUCGAUGUCGGCUCAUCGCAUCCUGGGGCUGUAGUCGGUCCCAAGGGUUGGGCUGUUCGCCCAUUAAAGCGGUACGCGAGCUGGGUUCAGAACGUCGUGAGACAGUUCGGUCCCUAUCCGUCGUGGGCGUAGGAAAUUUGAGAGGAGCUGUCCUUAGUACGAGAGGACCGGGAUGGACAUACCUCUGGUGUACCAGUUGUCGUGCCAACGGCAUAGCUGGGUAGCUAUGUGUGGACGGGAUAAGUGCUGAAAGCAUCUAAGCAUGAAGCCACCCUCAAGAUGAGAUUUCCCAACUUCGGUUAUAAGAUCCCUCAAAGAUGAUGAGGUUAAUAGGUUCGAGGUGGAAGCAUGGUGACAUGUGGAGCUGACGAAUACUAAUCGAUCGAAGACUUAAUCAA
rnacentral:rRNA from 1 species